AGAGUUUGAUCCUGGCUCAGGACGAACGCUGGCGGCGCGCCUAACACAUGCAAGUCGAACGAGAGAUGAAGAGCUUGCUCUUCAAAUCGAGUGGCGAACGGGUGAGUAACGCGUGAGGAACCUGCCUCAAAGAGGGGGACAACAGUUGGAAACGACUGCUAAUACCGCAUAAGCCCACGGCUCGGCAUCGAGCAGAGGGAAAAGGAGCAAUCCGCUUUGAGAUGGCCUCGCGUCCGAUUAGCUAGUUGGUGAGGUAACGGCCCACCAAGGCGACGAUCGGUAGCCGGACUGAGAGGUUGAACGGCCACAUUGGGACUGAGACACGGCCCAGACUCCUACGGGAGGCAGCAGUGGGGAAUAUUGCACAAUGGGGGAAACCCUGAUGCAGCGACGCCGCGUGGAGGAAGAAGGUCUUCGGAUUGUAAACUCCUGUUGUUGAGGAAGAUAAUGACGGUACUCAACAAGGAAGUGACGGCUAACUACGUGCCAGCAGCCGCGGUAAAACGUAGGUCACAAGCGUUGUCCGGAAUUACUGGGUGUAAAGGGAGCGCAGGCGGGAGAACAAGUUGGAAGUGAAAUCCAUGGGCUCAACCCAUGAACUGCUUUCAAAACUGUUUUUCUUGAGUAGUGCAGAGGUAGGCGGAAUUCCCGGUGUAGAGGUGGAAUGCGUAGAUAUCGGGAGGAACACCAGUGGCGAAGGCGGCCUACUGGGCACCAACUGACGCUGAGGCUCGAAAGUGUGGGUAGCAAACAGGAUUAGAUACCCUGGUAGUCCACACCGUAAACGAUGAUUACUAGGUGUUGGAGGAUUGACCCCUUCAGUGCCGCAGUUAACACAAUAAGUAAUCCACCUGGGGAGUACGACCGCAAGGUUGAA
rnacentral:rRNA from 1 species